GUCGGUUAGUCGGCACGAGCGCACCCUGUCGUUAGUUGCCAGCAUUUCGGAUGGGCACUUUAACGAGACUCCCGGUGUCAAACCGGCGGAAGAUGGGGAUGACGUCAAGUCCUCAUGGCCCUUAUGGUCGGGGCUACACACGUACUACAAUGGCACGUACAAAGGGUCGCAAAACCGCGAGGUCAAGCUAAUCCCAAAAAAGGUGCCUCAGUUCGGAUUGGAGUCUGCAACUCGACUCCAUGAAGUCGGAAUCGCUAGUAAUCGUGGAUCAGCAUGCCACGGUGAAUACGCUCCCGGGCCUUGUACACACCGCCCGUCACACCACGAAAGUUGGCUGGACCCGAAGCCGCUGACCCAACCUUUGGGAGGGAGGCGUCUGCGGUCUGGUUGAUGAUUGGGGUGAAGUCGUAACAAGGUAGCCGUAGGGGAACCUGCGGCUGGAUCACCUCCUUU
rnacentral:rRNA from 1 species